rnacentral:rRNA from 1 species
UGGGGAAUAUUGCACAAUGGGCGCAAGCCUGAUGCAGCCAUGCAGCGUGUAUGAAGAAGGCCUUCGGGUUGUAAAGUACUUUCAGCGGGGAGGAAGGUGUUGUGGUUAAUAACCACAGCAAUUGACGUUACCCGCAGAAGAAGCACCGGCUAACUCCGUGCCAGCAGCCGCGGUAAUACGGAGGGAGCAAGCGUUAAUCGGAAUUACUGGGCGUAAAGCGCACGCAGGCGGUCUGUCAAGUCGGAUGUGAAAUCCCCGGGCUCAACCUGGGAACUGCAUCCGAAACUGGCAGGCUUGAGUCUUGUAGAGGGGGGUAGAAUUCCAGGUGUAGCGGUGAAAUGCGUAGAGAUCUGGAGGAAUACCGGUGGCGAAGGCGGCCCCCUGGACAAAGACUGACGCUCAGGUGCGAAAGCGUGGGGAGCAAACA